rnacentral:rRNA from 1 species
UCGAGAAUCUUCCGCAAUGCGCGCAAGCGUGACGGAGCGACGCCGCGUGAGGGAUGAAGGCCUUCGGGUUGUAAACCUCUGUCACCUGGAAAGAAAACUGUGCGGUUAACAGCUGUCGCAGUUGACGUUACCAGGAGAGGAAGCACCGGCUAAAUACGUGCCAGCAGCCGCGGUAAUACGUAUGGUGCAAACGUUGUUCGGAAUCACUGGGCUUAAAGAGCACGUAGGCGGUUGAGAAAGUCUGGUGUGAAAUCCCUCGGCUCAACCGAGGAAUUGCAUUGGAAACUUCUCAGCUAGAGUACAGGAGGGGAGAGUGGAAUUCCUGGUGGAGCGGUGAAAUGCGUAGAUAUCAGGAGGAACGCCAGAGGCGAAAGCGACUCUCUGGCCUGUUACUGACGCUGAGGUGCGAAAGCUAGGGUAGCGAACGGGAUUAGAUACCCCCGUAGUCC